UAUAUGUGUGUGUGUGUGUGUGUGUGUGUGUACACACACAUACACACACACACACAUAUAUAUA